UACGAAGGGGGCUAGCGUUGCUCGGAAUCACUGGGCGUAAAGGGCGCGUAGGCGGCCAUUCAAGUCGGGGGUGAAAGCCCAGGGCUCAACCCUGGAAUUGCCUUCGAUACUGUUUGGCUAGAGACCGGAAGAGGUAAGUGGAACUGCGAGUGUAGAGGUGAAAUUCGUAGAUAUUCGCAAGAACACCAGUGGCGAAGGCGGCUAACUGGUCCGGUUCUGACGCUGAGGUGCGAAAGCGUGGGGAGCAAACAGG
rnacentral:rRNA from 1 species